UUGAACAUAAAACAGUCAUGUCAGUCCUCCUAUUUUUCCGUCAGUUACGGCCUGUGAGAUAAUCGUGUCUACUUUUCAUUGUCUGCUACUGUCAGCUUUAUGUUUGCAAGCUGGACUCCGACCACCAUGCUGAUGACAGAUUUUCAAAAUGUGUUUGUCUGUUUCAUCUUCUACAUUUCAGGUGUUAAUGGAGGAGAAACCAGGAUCUGUGCUCUCAAAGGUUCAUCAGUGGAUCUGCACUGCUCACAUCAACAUCUGACUUCAAGCAGAAAAUGGUUCACUAUAGACUGGGAUGGAAAUUAUGUUCGGAGUGAGCUCUCUGUGGAUGGACAACGUGUAACGUACAACAUGUCUGAAGAGAAAAACCCAACUUUAACCAUCAAUGAUCUAAGAGAGAGUGAUGCAAACUCUUACUGCUGUAUGAAGACUACAGACAGUCCAGGACACUGUUGGCUCAACAGAAUUACUCUUCAAGUUGUUGCAGAGCUGCAGGUAAAGGUGAUUCCUGCCACAGAGGGACAGACAGUAACACUGAUGUGCAGCAGCAGCUGUCCUCUGACUGAAAAGCCUGCAGCCUACAUCUGGUACAAGAACAGAGAGUUUCUCUAUGAGGACUGGUCUCCCUGGUACCAAGAGCUGCUCAGCAGUAAGGAAGCAGUCACAUACUCCUGUGCUGUCAAAGGCUACGAGGAUCUCAGGGCCCCUGAAGUCUCUGUGGAGGUUUAUGUUCAAAGAGUUUCUUCCACGUCAGGGUUUGUCACACUGACCUGUAGCACCAGCUGUAACCUGACUGACCAUCAAACUGCCAACAUGUGUUACCACAACAAAAGAAACUAUUAUGAGAAUCAACAUUAUUUCACUCAUAACUCUUCAACUGGCACAUUGUCUUGUGCAGUGAAAGACCACAAACAUCUUCAAUCUAAGCAAGUUUGUGUUCAGGAUAAAAACUGCUGGAGAGUGAAUUAUGUCAGCAGGAGAAUCUGUGCUCUGGAAGGAUCUUCAGUCAACAUCACAAGUGAAUACUCACAUCCUGAUAACAUGAAGCCAGAGUUUAAAUGUUGGAGUAAAAAAUGGAGAAAAGAUAAAGUGGAAGUUGAAGAGCUGAUUGAGGCUGCAGGUCGUGUGGAGUAUCAGGACAACAUGAAGAACCAACACAUCCUAACCAUCAACAACCUGAAGAAGAAUGACUCAGGAGGAUACACAUUCAGAUUCAACAAAGAUCAUAAGAAGUGGACACAGUCUGAUCUGCCUGGAGUCUUUUUGAUUGUCACAGAGCUGAGAGUGAAGAUGAGUCCUUCUGCAGUGGUGACAGAGGGUCAGAGAGUCACACUGACCUGCAGUACCAGCUGUCCUCUGACUGACAACACAAACUACAUUUGGUACUUGAACAGUCGACCUCUGACCCCGAGAGAGAACCAGAACAAACAUCUGAUCCUAGACCCAGUCAGCAGGGAGGAUGCAGGAAGCUACUCCUGUGCUGUGAAAACCAACAAAGAUAUCAGCUCUGCUCCAAAGACUCUCACUGUCCAAAGUAUCACAGGAACACGGACACCAGCAGCUGCAGGAGUUUCUGCAGCUCUGCUCCUUUUAAUACUUCUCACUGUCUUCUGGUGGAGGAGAAAAAAUAGGAUUUCUAACCAGCCUUCAAGAAGUGCAACACUAGGCAACAAACAGCAGAUUUAUCCUGAUUUCAUAAGUAAAAACGUUCCAGCUAAAUCGGAAGAGCAGGAUACUCAUUACUAUGUCGGGCUGCGUUGCAGUUUGAAAAGCACAAUUGACCCCUACUCAAUCAUCAAGUUAUCGCCUACUAAAAUGAAGACGACUUCCAGUCACUUUCCAAGAAGUGAAACAUCAGACAAUAAAGAGCAGGUAGAGGACAGGAUUCAGGUGAACCCUGAUCCCAUAUAUGAAAACAUCUCAGCUCAUUAUAGCGGACUGCACCUACCUAUGACCCACACAGUUGAUCUCUACUGCAAUAUUGACCCACUGCCUGUUCACUAAAGUAACUUUGUUACCAUAGUGAAUUAAAGAGCCUUUUUCUCUGAUAUGAGAAAGCGACCACACUCAAAGCAGCCUGUCUCCAACCUGAUUUUAUAAAAUGAUUCAGCACAGACACACAGUUUCUCAUCCAGGAUUAAAGGAGCCAGACUUUCCUCAGACAGCUAACAGCAAGAAAGCAGAAACACAAUGAAAUCAUGGAGUACCAGGGGCUGAAGGACCAACUGGAGGAGAUUA